GAUUUAAUGCCAUCGCCCCAACGACUUUCUCUCUGCCUUUUCUUGUGAAAACUGUUCAAGGGAAGAUGCUGACCUACCUAGGAAAUGGUUUUAAUCAGUUUUGUUCCGGAAAUAACUAUGGAAAUGCAGAUGCUUCUGGAUGUUGUGUGGUGACAAAUGGCUGAGAAGUCCCCCAGUCCACACCCCUCAGCCUGUAGGGGGAACUGCCCUGAGUGGCAGCCAUUCAGAAUCCUACGGGAAGCUGUGAAGCGUCAUCAGCAUAUGAAAGCACACAGACAUGAUGCUGGUGAAGGAGGCAACAUUGCAAAGCCUACCUCAGUCUUCACAUACCAUACAGACAGCCAUGACCACCUUUAUACAGGAUCCCGCCCUGGGUCCCUGGAUCUCAGAGGCUGGGAAGCAGGGCCCUCAGAAAUGGAGACCAGGGCAGUGUGGAAGACAAGCAAGGACUGUGUGAAUGGCAUCUUAGAGAGAGCCAGGUGACCAGACACUUGUAGCAGCCAUCCAGUAAGCUCGAAAGCAUGGGUUUCACCAAGGGGCCGUACAUUUCUAGGCUGGUGACAGAAUCACGGAGCAUCUCGGUAUUCGGUGACAAGACGACGAAUCACGGGGGCUGGGGGAGGAGGGGCGGGAGCUCGGCAAAUUUCUAAGAACAGUAGCGCAGCCCUGAGAAGAUCUCAAAUGCAUCCCACUUUAGUCAUUCAAGGGCAUCGACUCACAGGUAGGUGGUUCAGGCUCAUCAGUAAUCCUCUCAGAGAGGGGGGAAGUGGUGUGAGAAACACGUGCACCUCGGAGCUUAUAAGAAGCCAAUGGUGUCAAUCACCCAGACCUAGUGCCAUCCCAUUGGCCCCUGUCCACCGACCACGGUCUUUCCAGGGCUAUGCAUUUAUUUGUUUACUUUUACAUUUUGCUUAUCCGUGCGUGGGAGAGAGUCACAGGACAAUCUGUGACUCUGUGGGCCCCCUCUAGGGGCUUUUACUAGCCCAGGACUGUGAGUCAUGUGGCCCAUACCAUUGGACAGAAGAGCUGGGAAGGUUGAGUAGGCUCCUGUGAUCUCAGAAUUGAGAGUGUCUGCGUCUACCUGCUCUGGAACUAUGACACCCACUCCAUGGCAACCAGUCACAAGGCAGAAAAACCUAGACUUCUCCAUGCUAAUGAGGUAAUCUGAUAGGCCCUGAGCGUUCAGCCAAUGAGCUUCCCUUCCUGGGCAUUCUUUCUCACAAAAGGUAUUUAAUUCCUGGUCCACCCUGAGUGGUGUAUAUGCAUUCACAACUGCCAUGUAUAAAGAAGUAUGAACAAGCAAGGGCCCUCUCUUCAUCAAAGAUCGCCUGGAGGGUGGGGCGGGGGGAUGGGGAAGCCUUCACAGUAAACAGAUCUCCUAGAUCUCCCUGAGAAGGCCUUCUCCCUUCCAGCCCCUCUGUACUCUGAGCACUCACUCAGAAUCAAGCCUGGUUCUGCCCCUACCGUUGGCUCAGCCUUCUUCCUGCCUGGCAUGUGGACACCCUGGGAGGAAGCACAGACCAGAGACCCCUGUUUCUAACUCCCUGUGGUUUACCAGCAGUGCCCGGGUACACAAGAGACUGGAAACCACAGCAAUCAUCCCAGACUCCACUGUUUUUCCACUCUGGGAAAACACAGACAGAGAUCCCCCAUUAUGGACUGAGUUCUGCCUCUCCUGAGCAGCCUGCUGGUGGUGCUCCGGGCACUCCAGUGGUGAGGCAGACAGGCAGCCUGGCUUGAAAUUUGUCAGAGGCCCCGUUAAGGAGAUAAUUGGCAUCCUGGAGGUUCAAGUCCUAGAUAGAUCCCAGGCCCUCCUCAUCACUAUUCAUUGAUGUCUGGGGCCUGGCGAUUCAUUGUUAUUGGGCAGAACUGUGGGCUGUGGCCUUAGCUUCAAUUCACUCAUGCUAGUUUUACCAUCACCAAAAACAAACAAACAAACAAACAGCCCCCAAACCGUGUCUAUGCAGUGCCACAUUGUCACAUGUGUCUUGGGAGAGGCAGACAAGCCACAAAGGCAAAUGUUCUCUCACCUCACUUCCUCACAAAAUGCUUUAUUAAGAAGAAAAAAAGGAUAAAUACUGUGAGGAUGGGCCAGCUGUUGUCUUCUGAGAGUUCCGUGGCAAGCCCUUUGCAAGGACCUUGUGGUUUGGUCAUCACAGUUACCAUUUGGGGCAAGGCAUAUUACAUCCAAUGUUACAGAAGAGCAGCUGGGGCUCAACCAAGUUAAAGCCUUUCUCAGUUCCCUGCAUGGUAAACAAUGACAGCUCUUUGGGCUACUCCCAGAGCUGCCCCCACCAGGGUAGUCCCAGGGCUGCCCCCACCACAGUACUCAAAGUGCCUCCCAGAAGACGAACAUCAAACCAUUCGGCUCAUCUCAAACAUGACACUGGAAACCAUGUCUACUUGUGUGCUGGUACAGGAGCAGCAGCAAGCCCAGUCGUGUCCUCCUGUAGGUAUAUGUAUUCAACUGUUCGAGGGCAUGAGAGUCAGAGUACGGACAGUAAAUAUUCCUAGAAGGGUUGACCUACGGCUGACCCAGUUAUUCCAGGUCUCUCUCCAGCUACCCCAAACACAAUAAAACACUGCAAAGCCAAAUUGUGCAGGUACAUAAAUACCCCUCAGAACUUGCUCAAACUUGUCCCAUACCAUGUGUGCGUGGUAUAUCCCUGGAAUCAAGACUAGGGGGUACUUGAAGGGGUUGCAGGAAGGCACCCCACCAAGGCAGAGCAGAAAAAAACUUCUCUUGAAGAUCUAGGUAGAGAGAGGUCAAGAGUUUUGGAGGCAUAGGGCUGAUCUUUUGAAGGAUUUGGACCACCUGAACCCAUCACUCCUGAAGAACUAAAAUCUACAGAGAAGCAAUACAGAUCUCAGAAGUGAGAUCCUGCUCCCCAAGGUAGGAGGAGACAACUAGAUGACUACUACCUUGGCACGGAGUCCUAAAAAAGUAGAAAGGACCAAGAAGUCCCACCAACAUCCCCAGGGUCCCAUGGAAGAAUGAACUUGCAGCAGGAGCUACUGGGUUAAGGCUGACACAGGCAGAAAGACCGUAUCAGGCAUCAUCAUGAACAGAUGGGCCAUCAAGGACCCCUACCCACCCUAGCAAGGUACAGCAACCUAUGACUUAAGCAGUGUUCUGGACAAAAGCGGGAGGUUCUCUGUGGCCAACUGAGCUCUCAGAUGCUCAAAGCUAGAGGUGAGUUAUGCUGAGUAUUUCCAACGAACGCAGCUAAGCUACAGAACUCUCACCCUCCCACUCCACCUGCCGCUUGAGUAUACUGGUUGGGGUGUGUUUCUGCUCAUUUGAGCCACUUGGAACCUAGGAGUAGACAUGAGGUCCCUGCUCAUUGUCAGGGACCCACACUGGGUUGGAAUUUUCCCUGAAUUUGCACUUCUAUUUUUCCCCCUUGUCAGUAAAUUUGCCUAUUGUUAUACUAUUA